rnacentral:rRNA from 1 species
GACGAACGCUGGCGGCGUGCUUAACACAUGCAAGUCGAACGGAAAGGCCCCUUUGGGGGUACUCGAGUGGCGAACGGGUGAGUAACACGUGAGUAACCUGCCCUUUACUUCGGGAUAACUUCAGGAAACUGGGGCUAAUACCGGAUAGGAAUCCUUGCUGCAUGGUGGGGGUUGGAAAGCUUCGGCGGUUUUGGAUGGACUCGCGGCCUAUCAGCUUGUUGGUGGGGUAGUGGCUUACCAAGGCUUUGACGGGUAGCCGGCCUGAGAGGGCGACCGGCCACAUAGAGACUGAGAUACGGCCCAGACUCCUACGGGAGGAAGCAGUGGGGAAUAUUGCACAAUGGGCGGAAGCCUGAUGCAGCAACGCCGCGUGCGGGAUGACGGCCUUCGGGUUGUAAACCGCUAUCAGCAGGGGCGAAGCUUGUGGUGACGGUACCUGCAGAAGAAGCACCGGCUAACUACGUG